rnacentral:rRNA from 1 species
UACGUAGGGUGCGAGCGUUAAUCGGAAUUACUGGGCGUAAAGCGUGCGCAGGCGGUUCGUCGUGUCCGAUGUGAAAGCCCCGGGCUCAACCUGGGAAUGGCAUUGGAAACUGGCGGACUCGAGUGUGGCAGAGGGGGGUGGAAUUCCGCGUGUAGCAGUGAAAUGCGUAGAGAUGCGGAGGAACACCGAUGGCGAAGGCAGCCCCCUGGGCUGACACUGACGCUCAGGCACGAAAGCGUGGGGAGCAAACAGG